AAAUACUGAAAGACCUCCCCUCCGGGGGAGUGAUUUUCAAACCCUUGUGAACAAAACUCUGUUGCUUCGGGGGCGACCCCGCCGUCUCGGCGGUGGUGCUCCCGGUGGCCAUCUAUCAAACUCUGCAUUACCUUGCGUCGGAGUCUUAUAAAGAAUUAAACA
rnacentral:misc_RNA from 1 species